UGAAAUUGCGCGAGUGUGAGCGUCUGACCCUAACCCCCAAAUCCCCAAUCCCUAACCUACCUCAGUGCUCAUCGCCCUCUCUUCUACAAAACUCCACACCUGCGCACCCAGCCACACCUGCGAAGCCUUCGGCCCGUCGCACAUUAGGCCAACACGAAGCCUUCCUCUUCGCGAAGACGCCGACAGAGCAGAGAUCCCAUCACGCCGCCACCCUAACCCAUCAGUUCAGCCCAGCACAGAGACGCCACCACCCUAACCCCUCAGUUCAGCCCAGCACGGCAGCACCUCCCAGUCUCCCACUCAGCCUUCCUCCCAAGUCAAUAUGGAGCCCGAGCCACCGAUUCAGGUUGGUUUGUAUUAAGAAGUUUAGCUGUUUUGUUAGAGAAGACACCAUAACUUUGCUAUCUUUUAAUGACAUUUUUUUUAAUUUUCAGUUGUGUUGACUGUUGAACUAUUAAACUUCUUUAAUUGUCGUAUUUGAAUUUCUUUUGUCGUUAAAUUUUA